rnacentral:rRNA from 1 species
UUUCCGAAGGGGCAUAACCUGUUUGAGUAUCAUGAACACCUCAACUCCUCAUGGUUUGCCGUGACGAGCUUGGACUUUGGAGGUCUUUGCUGGCCUGUGAUCAGCUCCUCUCAAAUGAAUCAGCUUGCCAGUGUUUGGUGGCAUCGCAGGUGUGAUAACUAUCUACGCUUGUGGUGUUCUGCCAGAUAACCUUCAGCAACGGAGGUUCACUGGAGCUCACAAAUGUCUCUCCUCAGUGGGGACAGCUCUCUGAAUGUUUGAUCUCAAAUCAGGUAGGACUACCCGCUGAACUUAAGCAUAUCAAUAAGCGGAGG